rnacentral:rRNA from 1 species
AUUGAACGCUGGCGGGAUGCUUUACACAUGCAAGUCGAACGAGUGGCGUACGGGAGAGCUAUGUAUCGGAAUGGGCGCAGUAGCUGGGGAUAACUACCCGGAAGUGUGGCUACUAACGCAUAGUUUUGGCUCGGUCGGUAUCGGAUUAGCUAGUUGGAGGGGUAAAGGCUCACCAAGGCAACGAUCCGUAGCUGGUUUGAGAGGACGACCAGCCACACUGGGACUGAGACACGGCCCAGACUCCUACGGGAGGCAGCAGUGGGGAAUUUUGGACAAUGGGGGAAACCCUGAUCCAGCCAUCCCGCGUGUGUGAGAAGGCCUUCGGGUUGUAAAGUACUUUAAGUAGAGAAGCGGUAUCUACAGAAUAAGCACCGGCUAACUACGUGCCAGCCGCCGCGGUAAUAC